rnacentral:rRNA from 1 species
UACGGGGGGGGCAAGCGUUGUUCGGAAUUACUGGGCGUAAAGGGCUCGUAGGCGGCCAACUAAGUCGGACGUGAAAUCCCUCGGCUCAACCUGGGAACGGCAUCCGAUACUGGAUGGCUUGAAUUCGGGAGAGGGAUGCAGAAUUCCAGGUGUAGCGGUGAAAUGCGUAGAUAUCGUAAGGAAGACCAGUGGCGAAGGCGGGUCUCUGGACAGUUCCUGACGCUGAGGCACGAAGGUCAGGGGAGCAAACGGG